UACGGAGGGGGCUAGCGUUGUUCGGAAUUACUGGGCGUAAAGCGCACGUAGGCGGCUUUGUAAGUUAGAGGUGAAAGCCCGGAGCUCAACUCCGGAACUGCCUUUAAGACUGCAUCGCUUGAAUCAUGGAGAGGUCAGUGGAAUUCCGAGUGUAGAGGUGAAAUUCGUAGAUAUUCGGAAGAACACCAGUGGCGAAGGCGGCUUCCUGGACCGACACUGACGCUGAGGCGCGAAAGCUAGGGGAGCAAACGGG
rnacentral:rRNA from 1 species